rnacentral:pre_miRNA from 14 species
CCACCUGGUGACUGACGGGCUGCCCUGGCUCAGUUAUCACAGUGCUGAUGCUGUCCAUUCUAAAGGUACAGUACUGUGAUAACUGAAGGAUGGCAGCCAUCUUGCCGCCUUCCGUCC